GUCUAUUUGGAGAUAUAAAUAGUCUAGUCUGCCCACUGAUAGUUAAUUUAAAGGGCCGCGGUAUAUUGACCGUGCAAAGGUAGCAUAAUCAUUAGUUUUUUAAUUGAAAUCUCGUAUGAACGGCUGGACAAAAGAAAGUCUGUCUCUAUAGUGGUUAUUGAAUUUAACUUUUGAGUGAAAAGGCUUAAAUAAAUUAAAAAGACGAUAAGACCCUAUAAAGCUUGACAUUAAUUGGAUAUUACACCGGAUUAUUUGGUUAUAAAGGUGUGUAAUGCAAUUUUUGUUUUAUUGGGGCGAUAGAGGUAAAAUUGUUGGUAACUGCUUAAAUUUUAUGACAGGAUAAGUGAAUAAUUAUUAUAAGAGAUCCCAAGAUAUGGAUUACAAGGUUAAGUUACUUUAGGGAUAACAGCGUAAUUUUUUUUAAGAGUUCUUAUCGAAAAAAAAGUUUGCGACCUCGAUGUUGAAUUAA
rnacentral:rRNA from 1 species